rnacentral:rRNA from 1 species
GACAGAGGGGGCAAGCGUUGCUCGGAAUCACUGGGCGUAAAGGGCGCGUAGGCGGGAUGGCAAGUCGGUCGUGAAAUCCUUCGGCCCAACCGAAGAACGUCGGCCGAUACUGCCGUUCUUGAGGGAUGCAGAGGAGACUGGAAUUCCCGGUGUAGCGGUGGAAUGCGUAGAGAUCCGGAAGAACACCGGUGGCGAAGGCGGUCUGCUGGGCAGUUGCUGACACUGAGGCGCGACAGCGUGGGGAGCAAACAGG